CCUAGGCUUCCUCUAAAUAAAACUCCCCUAAACUUAGUAUACAAAUGUCCAACACCACCUCAUCCCGUUUGACUCGCACCCAAUUGAAACAAAAGGCCAACAAAAUAAAAUCUAAAAUUGAACUAUUCACCAUCCACCAACAUCGUUCCACAUAAUCAACCCUAAUUAUGGAACCAUUCAUUUCUAGAUCCAAUAUCCUCCUCACCUUCUCCUAAAU
rnacentral:lncRNA from 1 species